GAUGAACGCUGGCGGCGUGCCUAAUACAUGCAAGUAGAACGCUGAAGGAAGGAGCUUGCUCUUUCCGGAUGAGUUGCGAACGGGUGAGUAACGCGUAGGUAACCUGCCUGGUAGCGGGGGAUAACUAUUGGAAACGAUAGCUAAUACCGCAUAACAGUAGAUAUUGCAUGAUAUCUGCUUGAAAGGGGCAAUUGCUCCACUACCAGAUGGACCUGCGUUGUAUUAGCUAGUUGGUGAGGUAACGGCUCACCAAGGCGACGAUACAUAGCCGACCUGAGAGGGUGAUCGGCCACACUGGGACUGAGACACGGCCCAGACUCCUACGGGAGGCAGCAGUAGGGAAUCUUCGGCAAUGGACGGAAGUCUGACCGAGCAACGCCGCGUGAGUGAAGAAGGUUUUCGGAUCGUAAAGCUCUGUUGUAAGAGAAGAACGAGUGUGAGAGUGGAAAGUUCACACUGGGACGGUAUCUACCA
rnacentral:rRNA from 1 species